rnacentral:rRNA from 1 species
CUAAGCCUACGGGACGCAGCAGUGGGGAAUAUUGGGCAAUGGGCGCAAGCCUGACCCAGCAACGCCGCGUGAAGGAAGAAGGCUUUCGGGUUGUAAGCUUCUUUUGUCAGGGACGAAGCAAGUGACGGUACCUGACGAAUAAGCCACGGCUAACUACGUGACAGCAGCCGCGGUAAUACGUAAGUGGCAAGCGUUAUCCGGAUUUAUUGGGUGUAAAGGGCGUGUAGGCGGGAAUGCAAGUCAGAUGUGAAAACUAUGGGCUCAACCCAUAGCCUGCAUUUGAAACUGUAUUUCUUGAGUGCUGG